GACGAACGCUGGCGGCGUGCUUAACACAUGCAAGUCGAACGAUGAAGCCGCUUCGGUGGUGGAUUAGUGGCGAACGGGUGAGUAACACGUGGGCAAUCUGCCCUUCACUCUGGGACAAGC
rnacentral:rRNA from 1 species